AUACGGGGGGUGCAAGCGUUACUCGGAAUCACUGGGCGUAAAGCGCGCGCAGGCGGCUAUUUAAGUUGGAUGUGAAAGCCUACGGCUCAACCGUAGAACUGCAUCCAAAACUAUUUAGCUAGAGUGUGGGAGAGGAAGAUGGAAUUAGUUGUGUAGGGGUAAAAUCCGUAGAGAUAACUAGGAAUACCAAAAGCGAAGGCAAUCUUCUGGAACACUACUGACGCUGAGGCGCGAAAGCGUGGGGAGCAAACAGGAUUAGAAACCCUAGUAGUCC
rnacentral:rRNA from 1 species